UUCACACUGGUUCUUCCACUUCAGCUGGAGGUUAGGAUGAGUGCUCUCAAGGGUCUCCUCAAACUGGGAGAUCAUCUGGUUUUAUUCACGUGAAACUUUUCAUUUUGCAGUUUAUCAUCGUAGACACACAGAGGAAGCAAAUCUCGAUUCACUCCUAUGGAGUGAGCAUCACUUUUAUCUUCAUUUUACAGCUGGGGAGUCAGAGACAGAUUUGUCUGAUCCCAUACUUUCAGGAAGGUAAGGAGCCAGGAUUUGGAAAGCGGCAGCUAUGGUGUUGCCAGUCCAUUUUCCUAAGUACUAUGUUCCUUA
rnacentral:lncRNA from 1 species